rnacentral:lncRNA from 1 species
GAAUAUGAAAAUGUUAAAAUGUAAGGUUUUUGGUUUAAUUUAGUUUUAAAUUAAAAAAAUUUCUUCAUUAUUUUGGUCACCAACUUUGAUUAUUAUUUUCGUUAAGCCUAACUGUCAUUUCUAAUUUAAGUAAAUUUAAAUUAAUUAAUCUAAUUGUUUCAUAGUUCUUCAAAAUAAUUUAUUUAUUUUUCAUAUAUUAAAAAAAAAGAUUUUAUUACUAUUUUAUUGUAAUCUGAUGAUGUGAUAUAUAAAUGAUGAUGAUCCAAUAAAUUUUAUAUAUUUCAUGGGUUUUGAUAUGAAUUGUUCAACAUAAUGGUUUUUGUUUUCAAGAAAUGUCAAAAAUAAUCAAAAAAGGUUUGAAGUUUAAAUUAUUUUUUGAAGUAUUUUCUUUUUAUUUCAGGUUUAAAAAAAAAAAUCCAUAUGUUGAAGAACAGAAUUAGUGUUAAGAUGAAUUAGUCAAUGUUUAAACAAGAGGGUUCCUUCUUUUAUGCAUUUUUGUGUUUUAUCUUUUAAACUGAGUUUUUUUUUUUUAAUAUCUUUUAAUUUUAAAAUAGUUUUUAUCAUGGCUUUAGUUUCUAUGUUUAUACUUUCUUUCUAUUAGCAGUUACUCCAAUGUCAUCUAGUCAAUAUUUUACAAUUUGUAAACACAAGCUUGUUAAGUAUAGAUUUAUUUUUAGGUGGCUAAGCAUGUUGCUGGAGGCGUGUGUUUGAUUUGCAAAGAACCAAUUAUUAUUAAUAUAACACGUAGUUAUGAAUCAUCUGCCAAUCAUCAUCAUAGUUAUGAAUCAUCUGUCGAUGUCAAGUUAAAUGAAUAAGCGCUAUUAAAGUAAUGCUGGAAAAUAAAAUUAAAAAAAUUUUUAUGUGGUCAUUGUGUACACUGAUAAUACAUUGCUGUUUGGCCUCGAAAACUUUUAAUUACAUCAACAAAUAUAGUUGUGGCUGAUGAUAUUUUGAUGUGUCAUCAGCUAUAUCUUAUGUCUUGAUGUAGUUUUAUGAUUUUGUAUCGUUGGAGAUAAAGCCUGCACAGUGAUUUCAGGAGCAUCGAAGAAUUAAAUUAUACAAUCAGCAAGUUUAAAGAACACCUAUUGUUUGUGCAUAUUUGUAUAGUCAAUAUGUGAUACCAUUUCUUCAACUGAAUCCAACUUAAAACUUUUAAAAAAAUCACAUGACAUCCAAAAGCUCUGGUUAAUGUAAUUCUGGACUGCUUCUCAGGAAGCAUUUUUAGGUAUCAUUAAACCUAUCCUAAUCAUUGAACGUAAUCUAAGUUACUACCAACUGAAAAGGUGGUAAAUUUGCAAAGUUAGUUAUCCAUCUUUAUGUAAUUGAAUGAAGUUCACUUGAUAAGCGUUUAAAUGUAAAUCACAACUGAUUAUGACGCACCACUUAAAUCUUUUUAGUGUAACAUAAUCCAAUUGUAAAAAUUGCCAAGAAACUGAGGUGGUUUGCUAAAGUGCGUUGCAAUCUGUGGUGAUUGUCAAGGCAAAAAGUGUUACAACAAAAAGAUAACAACAGAUCUGAUCAGUUUUGUUCAGAAAUUAUUCUGAAAAAUCGUAUGAGUGUUCGAGAAAUUUGACUAAUUAUGCUGUUGGUAACGGUAAUUAAAUAAUAAUAUUUUUAACGUCUUUAAUUAAAGAAUGUUAAAAAAAAAAAAUCUUUUUGUUUUUCCAUUGUUAUACGAGCCAACUAGCCCCAUAAAAUAUUUAUCUAACCCCCCGUUAAAAAAAAUGA